rnacentral:ncRNA from 1 species
GUGAUAGAGGCGCAGGCUUCAUCAGUAAUCGGUCGGACAUUGUCCUGUACGGGAGUGCACCGAUGAAAGGGGAUCCUGCCGAAGCGCCAUGCUCCUCCCGAGGGCAUGAUCGCUGGGAUAACGCAGAAGAUGCGUUAUACUGUCGUUAAUCAUACAUCAAUAUGUCAUGCCUGAUCGGUGGAG